UGGGGAAUAUUGGACAAUGGGCGCAAGCCUGAUCCAGCCAUGCCGCGUGUGUGAAGAAGGCCUUCGGGUUGUAAAGCACUUUUGUCCGGAAAGAAAAGCAUUCGAUUAAUACUCGGGUGUUAUGACGGUACCGGAAGAAUAAGCCCCGGCUAACUUCGUGCCAGCAGCCGCGGUAAUACGAAGGGUGCAAGCGUUACUCGGAAUUACUGGGCGUAAAGCGUGCGUAGGUGGUUUGUUAAGUCUGAUGUGAAAGCCCUGGGCUCAACCUGGGAACUGCAUUGGAAACUGGCUUACUAGAGUGCGGUAGAGGGGUGUGGAAUUCCCGGUGUAGCAGUGAAAUGCGUAGAUAUCGGGAGGAACAUCUGUGGCGAAGGCGACACCCUGGACCAGCACUGACACUGAGGCACGAAAGCGUGGGGAGCAAAC
rnacentral:rRNA from 1 species